rnacentral:rRNA from 1 species
GGUAUCGCCGUUAGUCAUGUGCAAAUAUGGAUAGCUGUUUUAGCCGUCUUUAUUGACUGGUUUAUAAGAGUUAUCAGAUAUCACUUUGAUUAAAUUAGAGUGCUUAAAGCAAGUGUGUUACUUGGAUAUAAAUGCAUGGAAUGAUGGAAUAUGUUGUUAUUCUAUUUGUUGGUUUUUGAAUGAUAAAAUGAUUGAAAGGAACUGUUGGGGGCAUUCGUAUUGUUAUGAGAGAGGUGAAAUUCUUAGACCACAGCAAGACGAACUACUGCGAAAGCAUUUGCCAAGAAUGUUUUCAUUGAUCAAGAACGAAAGUUAGAGGUUCGAAGGCGAUCAGAUACCGCCCUAGUUCUAACCAUAAACUAUGCCAACUAGCAAUUUGCUUUGUAUUUCUUAUGACUAAGUGAGAGGCCACGGGAAACCUAAGUAGGGUUAUGGGGGAAGUAUGGUUGCAAAGCUGAAACUUAAAGGAAUUGACGGAAGGGCACCACCAGGAGUGGAGCCUGCGGCUUAAUUUGACUCAACACGGGAAAACUUACCUGGUCCUGACACUAGAAGGAUUGACAGAUUGAUAGCUCUUUCUUGAUUUGGUGGAUGGUGGUGCAUGGCCGUUCUUAGUUGGUGGAGUGAUUUGUCUGGUUAAUUCCGAUAACGAACGAGACUCUAGCCUAUUAAAUAAUACACGGAAUUUUAUCUUCCGCGGUAUUUCUUAGUGGGAUCAAGCG